rnacentral:rRNA from 1 species
CCUACGGGAGGCUGCAGUAGGGAAUCUUCCACAAUGGACGAAAGUCUGAUGGAGCAACGCCGCGUGAGUGAAGAAGGGUUUCGGCUCGUAAAGCUCUGUUGGUAGUGAAGAAAGAUAGAGGUAGUAACUGGCCUUUAUUUGACGGUAAUUACUUAGAAAGUCACGGCUAACUACGUGCCAGCAGCCGCGGUAAUACGUAGGUGGCAAGCGUUGUCCGGAUUUAUUGGGCGUAAAGCGAGUGCAGGCGGUUCAAUAAGUGUGAUGUGAAAGCCUUCGGCUCAACCGGAGAAUUGCAUCAGAAACUGUUGAACUGGAGUGCAGAAGAGGAGAGUGGAACUCCAUGUGUAGCGGUGGAAUGCGUAGAUAUAUGGAAGAACACCAGUGGCGAAGGCGGCUCUCUGGUCUGCAACUGACGCUGAGGCUCGAAAGCAUGGGUAGCGAACAGGAUUAGAUACCCCUGUAGUC